rnacentral:rRNA from 1 species
CCUACGUGAGGCAGCAGUGGGGAAUAUUGGGCAAUGGGCGCAAGCCUGACCCAGCAACGCCGCGUGAAGGAAGAAGGCUUUCGGGUUGUAAACUUCUUUUCUCAGGGACGAAGCAAGUGACGGUACCUGAGGAAUAAGCCACGGCUAACUACGUGCCAGCAGCCGCGGUAAUACGUAGGGGGCAAGCGUUAUCCGGAUUUACUGGGUGGAAAGGGCGUGUAGGCGGGACUGCAAGUCAGAUGUGAAAACCACGGGCUCAACCUGUGGCCUGCAUUUGAAACUGUAGUUCUUGAGUACUGGAGAGGCAGACGGAAUGCCUAGUGUAGCGGUGAAAUGCGUAGAUAGUAGGAGGAACACCAGUGGCGAAGGCGGUCUGCUGGACAGCAACUGACGCUGAGGCGCGAAAGCGUGGGGAGCAAACAGGAUUAGAUACCCGGGUAGUC